UCCUAGUCCCCUCCCAGUAUAACCCAGUCCAUCCCAGUCCCCUCCCAGUAUAACCCAGUGCUACCACGAGCCCCCCCAGUCCAUCCCAGUGCCCUGCAGUGCCCCCCAGUCCAUCCCAGUUAUUCCCAGUAUCCCCUUUGAGCCCUUCUCAGUGCCCUCCAGUCCCACUCCAGUCUGUUCCAGUCACUCCCAGUAUCCCCCUUGAGUCCCUCCCAGUGCCCUUUCCAGUAUAACCCAGUCCCUCCCAGUAUAACCCAGUGCCCUCCCAUCCCUCCCAGUAUAACCCAGUCCCUCCCAGUGUAACCCAGUCCCUCCCAGUAUACCCCAGUCCCUCCCAGUUACCCAGUCCCCGUUCCCGCAGAGCCGGUUUCCGCCCCGUUCCUGGCGCUGAGGGAGAGCACCAAGAACCGGAUCCUGACGGCGCAGGGGGUGCUGCUGCUGCUCUGCUCGGCCGGGCCGGGGCUGCUGCUGCUGCUCAGGAAGCGCUGGGCCAACGAGCAGCUGCUGCACCCCGAAAAAACCACAUGUGAGGAGGAAAACUUCUACGAGGUGAUGUUCCGGGGGGUCCCCGUGCCCCAAAAUCGUGCUGGGGGGGUCUGUCACCCCCUAAACCCCCCCAAACCGACCCGAAUCCCCCCCUUUCCCUGCUUUGAGGGG